AGUAAAGAUUUUAAGGGCGUACGGCGGAUGCCUUGGCGAUAUCAGCCGAUGAAGGACGCGGUAAGCUGCGAUAAGCUACGGAGAGGUGCAAGCAACCUUUGACCCGUAG
rnacentral:rRNA from 1 species